CGAAUACGAACCGUGAAAGC
rnacentral:snRNA from 1 species